rnacentral:rRNA from 1 species
UACAGAGGUCUCAAGCGUUGUUCGGAUUCAUUGGGCGUAAAGGGUGCGUAGGCGGCGCGGUAAGUCGGGUGUGAAAUCUCGGAGCUUAACUCCGAAACUGCAUUCGAUACUGCCGUGCUUGAGGACUGGAGAGGAGACUGGAAAUUUACGGUGUAGCGGUGAAAUGCGUAGAUAUCGUAAGGAAGACCAGUGGCGAAGGCGGGGUCUCUGGGAC